rnacentral:rRNA from 1 species
AUACGGAAGGUCCGGGCGUUAUCCGGAUUUAUUGGGUUUAAAGGGAGCGCAGGCGGAGAUGCAAGCGUGACGUCAAAUUUCGGGGCUCAACCCCGUCUCGCGUCGCGAACUGCGUCCCUUGGUUGCGGGAAGGGGAGGCGGAACUCGUGGUGUAGCGGUGAAAUGCAUAGAUAUCACGAAGAACUCCGAUCGCGAAGGCAGCCUUCCGGCCCGUCAACGAAGCGCAUGCUCGAAGGUGCGGGUAUCAAACAGGAUUAGAUACCCUGGUCGUCCGCACAGUAAACGAUGGACACCCGCGGUUUGGCCUAUAUGGCUGAGCCGCCAAGCGAAAGCGUUAAGUGUCCCACCUGGGGAGUACGCCGGCAACGGUGAAACUCAAAUGAAUUGACGGGG